CUCGGUCUUGAUAAUAUGAAACUGUAGUAUGUACAUACUUUUAAUACAAAAAAUAUUUGUCAUCUAACAAAACCAGUUUCUGUGUGCUCAAAAACAUGGGCCUGUAAACAGGGGCAUCUCCCUUUUGUGGUUUUCUUCUUGUGAGGUGACUUUUGUCUCUUGAGCCAAGUGCAUCAUACUGCACGUUAAGGGGAUCCUUAUCUGUAAAAGUGCCUGGACCUGAUAAACUUUUUCUUCUUGUCAGGUGACUUUGGUCUCUUGAGCCAAGUGCAUCACACGGCACGUUAAGGGGAUCCUUUGCUGUGAAAGUGCCUGGGCCUGAUAUACUAUUGAAAGCAGCAGAAGAAGUUACAAGUAAAGACGCAGCAUACAGCAAGUU
ensembl:lncRNA